rnacentral:rRNA from 1 species
GAUGAACGCUGGCGGCGUGCCUAAUACAUGCAAGUCGAGCGAACGGACGAGAAGCUUGCUUCUCUGAUGUUAGCGGCGGACGGGUGAGUAACACGUGGAUAACCUACCUAUAAGACUGGGAUAACUUCGGGAAACCGGAGCUAAUACCGGAUAAUAUUUUGAACCGCAUGGUUCAAAAGUGAAAGACGGUCUUGCUGUCACUUAUAGAUGGAUCCGCGCUGCAUUAGCUAGUUGGUAAGGUAACGGCUUACCAAGGCAACGAUGCAUAGCCGACCUGAGAGGGUGAUCGGCCACACUGGAACUGAGACACGGUCCAGACUCCUACGGGAGGCAGCAGUAGGGAAUCUUCCGCAAAGGGCGAAAGCCUGACGGAGCAUCGCCGCGUGAGUGAUGAAGGUCUUCGGAUCGUAAAACUCUGUUAUUAGGGAAGAACAUAUGUGUAAGUAACUGUGCACAUCUUGACGGUACCUAAUCAGAAAGCCACGGCUAACUACGUG